UGGGGAAUUUGGACAAUGGGCGAAAGCCUGAUCCAGCAAUGCCGCGUGUGUGAAGAAGGCCUUCGGGUUGUAAAGCACUUUUGUCCGGAAAGAAAUCCUUGGCUCUAAUACAGUCGGGGGAUGACGGUACCGGAAGAAUAAGCACCGGCUAACUACGUGCCAGCAGCCGCGGUAAUACGUAGGGUGCAAGCGUUAAUCGGAAUUACUGGGCGUAAAGCGUGCGCAGGCGGUUUGCUAAGACCGAUGUGAAAUCCCCGGGCUCAACCUGGGAACUGCAUUGGUGACUGGCAGGCUAGAGUAUGGCAGAGGGGGGUAGAAUUCCACGUGUAGCAGUGAAAUGCGUAGAGAUGUGGAGGAAUACCGAUGGCGAAGGCAGCCCCCUGGGCCAAUACUGACGCUCAUGCACGAAAGCGUGGGGAGCAAAACAGGAUUAGAUACCCUGGUAGUCCACGCCCUAAACGAUGUCAACUAGUUGUUGGGGAUUCAUUUCCUUAGUAACGUAGCUAACGCGUGAAGUUGACCGCCUGGGGAGUACGGUCGCAAGAUUAAAACUCAAAGGAAUUGACGGGGUCAUAGCUGUUUCCU
rnacentral:rRNA from 1 species